CUAAGACCCUAGAGAGAUUAACGAUGAAUGCACAAGAAGUAUUAACUCUGAAAGGUUAUGAAAGGCCCCAACUUUAGUAUAAGCAAACUAGCAUCUUAGACAAACUAUCAACGGCUAUCUACCAUUUGCAUCUCAGUUUACUACUUGAUUCAAAGUUAUAGCACUGGCUAAGUGUAAAAUUUCAAGUCUGCCACCUGCUUUGUUAGCCUUGGUUGCCAACUCAUUCUGCAUAUAACAUCAUGUAUGUUGUGUUGAGUUAUCUUUUUAUGCCAGAUAUUUAUGUUAAUUUCUAAUUCACUAAAAAUGCCCAAAGGUUUUUGGUUUAUGAAGGUGCAUAUUCAUUUAUUGAAAAGCACCAAAUCCUUAAGUUAUAUAUGCUAUUGAUAUCAUGUUUCUAUUUGCUGUGUCAUUAGAUUGCAAAUGUGUUUCUGCAAUUUCAUCUGGUACAUGAUUACUUAUCUCUGCUUUACUUAUGUAUCUGAUUAGAUUUUUAUGACAAUAACAUGUUUGUUUUUUUAUUAGAAAGGAAUAUUUUAAAGUCUGUCAAUUCACUAGAUGUCUUUGAUCAAUAAUACGCGAGACUACAAAAAAAUAUUAGCUCUUAGAUUCUGUGCAAUAUUGGGUCAUGUUUUGCAUCAAGGGUGCAACAUGAAUCACUAUGUUUUUUAGAGUACUGCAUCUAAUACUGGUGAUCUACUAAUUGAGAAAGGUUCCGAUUCUGCUGGUUCGUGCGUCUUUAUGCAGCUGAAGUUGCACAUGCUCUUGAAUACAUACACAGUAUGGGAAUGAUUCAUUGAGAUUACGUCUUUAUACACAGUAUGGGAAUGAUUCGUUGAGGUAUUAAGGUGCUUUUAUUACCUGGACACCUUUGUCAAUGAAAUAUAUUACGAAAGUUUUGAGUUUAUAUUUAUGGCUUCCACAAAACUUGCUACGUGCUGCAGAUGGACAUAUUAAAAUCGUUAAUUUAGGCAGUGUAAAACCAUGUAGGAUAACAGAAUUCCUUUUAUAUGCAACAUCAGGUAUAUCUUUCUUGAUGUUCGGUUGCUUCCGUGGAAAUUAGAAUCAGUUUAUGUUCCCAAACAUAUGCUCUUUGUGCAUUUUUAUUGCCAAAUCACUUCUCCAGAUAACAAAGCAUGCACUUUUGUGGGGACAGCUGUAAAGAUCCUCACAUUCAAAUGAAGGUCGGUAUGCAGAUGAUUUUAUCCUAUUUUAGAUCACUCAAUAAGAAAAUAUUUGUUGUAUGAUGCAGGAAUUUGGAGAGAUUUUGGUGAGCCUCCUUUUAGUUUCUGCUAAUCAAUAUCAUAUUAAUGAACCUUUUAUACCCUUUAAGUUUUUUUUCAAAAAAUACUCUAGAAGUAUCAAUGUCAUAUUAAAAAGCAAAAGUAAAUAUCAUAUAGGACAUCCCUUUGCUCUUUUUUUUUUCUCCUCUUUGCACACCCUUAAAUGAUAUUUAAGCUU
rnacentral:lncRNA from 1 species